rnacentral:rRNA from 1 species
GACGGAGGAUGCAAGCGUUAUCCGGAAUGAUUGGGCGUAAAGCGUCCGCAGGUGGCAGUUCAAGUCUGCUGUCAAAGACCGGGGCUUAACUUCGGAAAGGCAGUGGAAACUGAACAGCUAGAGUAUGGUAGGGGCAGAGGGAAUUCCUGGUGUAGCGGUGAAAUGCGUAGAGAUCAGGAAGAACACCAGUGGCGAAGGCGACACACUGGCCCAUUACUGACGCUGAGGCUCGAAAGCGUGGGGAGCAAACAGG